rnacentral:rRNA from 1 species
ACGCUGGCGGCGUGCCUAAUACAUGCAAGUCGAGCGCACAGACGAGGAGCUUGCUCCUCUGACGUUAGCGGCGGACGGGUGAGUAACACGUGGAUAACCUACCUAUAAGACUGGGAUAACUUCGGGAAACCGGAGCUAAUACCGGAUAAUAUAUUGAACCGCAUGGUUCAAUAGUGAAAGACGGUUUUGCUGUCACUUAUAGAUGGAUCCGCGCCGCAUUAGCUAGUUGGUAAGGUAACGGCUUACCAAGGCAACGAUGCGUAGCCGACCUGAGAGGGUGAUCGGCCACACUGGAACUGAGACACGGUCCAGACUCCUACGGGAGGCAGCAGUAGGGAAUCUUCCGCAAUGGGCGAAAGCCUGACGGAGCAACGCCGCGUGAGUGAUGAAGGUCUUCGGAUCGUAAAACUCUGUUAUUAGGGAAGAACAAAUGUGUAAGUAACUAUGCACGUCUUGACGGUACCUAAUCAGAAAGCCACGGCUAACUACGUG